UAUACAUAUUCAUUAUUAAAAAGUUAAUAAAGAAUUAAUAAACAAAAAAGUAUAAAUUAUUUAUAGUGAUAACAAAAAAGUGAAAAUGACGAGAAGCGUGGCAGCAGUAGGAAAGGAAAUAAGUCUUUGCGAGUUAGAGGUCAAAAAUGGCAAUCAUAUUGAAAUUCUCAUUGGGAAGUGGAGAACAGCGUGGAAUAAAGUCUUUCCAAACAAAUAGUAUGGGUAAAUAAUCUCAUUGGCCGACGCUUUUCAAGAGUACAAUACGAAUGGUAAAUAAAAAUUGUAAACAAAAAAUUAUAAUAAAAAUUAAUAUUUUAAAUUUAUUGCCAUUUAAAUAUAUUGUGUUUCUUAUUUAUUUAUGGUAUCCACUGAAAUAAAGGUAGGUAAUGAAAAAGGUAGUGAAUUAUAACCGAAUAUAUGUAGCGAUGUAGCUAUUGAAAUAUAUUCAGCGCUAUGUGGUGAAGUAGCUAGCGAAGUAUGGGUGAUGAAAUCACUAGUGAGUAGUGUUAACUGGUUACCGUCAAUGACAUCGCCGUGUUAAAUUCAUGAGUGAAUUGCAUUGCCGGUAUUAUGGGGGGUAACCAGUGGUGGUUACCGGUAAGUAGUGAACUCACUAGUGUUUCACUGGUGAGCCGAACUG